UGCAACCUGAACUCAGGCGUGAUU
rnacentral:rRNA from 1 species